rnacentral:rRNA from 1 species
AGCUCCAAUAGCGUAUAUUAAAGUUGCUGCAGUUGAAAAGUUCGUAGUCGUAUUUUUUUCUAGUUCCUUGGGGGGUGCUUGACCGUGAGGUUAGGAUUACUCCCUGGGACUUGAAUACCUUUUGAUUGAGUGCAUACCUGUUCUUUAUUGAGUGGGGAGCAUAUUUUCAAGCAAAACUUUUUACUUUGAGAAAAUUAGAGUGUUUAAAGCAGGCAUUUAUGGCUUGAAUACAUUAGCAUGGAAUAAUGGAAUAGGACUUGUGGAAUAUUCUGUUGGUUUUGAUUACACGAGUAAUGAUGAAUAGGGACAGUUGGGGGCAUUAGUAUUUGGUAGUCAGAGGUGAAAUUCUUGGAUUUACCAAAGACUAACUACUGCGAAAGCAUUUGCCAAGGAUGUUUUC